CUCAACCAUACUCACAUUAUUCGAACUGCUAAGCUAGAGGACGAGAGAGGUUAUUGGAAUUCCCAGUGUAGGAGUGAAAUCCGCAGAUAUUGGGAGGAACACCGAUGGCGUAGGCAGAUAACUGGCUCGUUCCUGACACUAAGGCACGAAAGCGUGGGGAGCAAACGGGAUUAGAUACCCCGGUAGUCCACGCCGUAAACUAUGGAUGCUAGCUGUUAGAGGUAUCGACCCCUCUAGUAGCGAAGCUAACGCGUUAAGCAUCCCGCCUGUGGAGUACGGUCGCAAGACUAAAACAUAAAGGAAUUGACGGGGACCCGCACAAGCGGUGGAGCGUGUUGUUUAAUUCGAUGGUAAGCGAAGAACCUUACCCAGGCUUGACAUCCUUGGAAGGCUUCCGAAAGGAAACUGUGCCCUCGGGAACCAAGUGACAGGUGAUGCAUGGCCGUCGUCAGCUCGUGUCGUGAGAUGUUUGGUUAAGUCCAUCAACGAGCGCAACCCUUAUAGUUAGUUGAAUUUUUCUAGCUAGACUGCCCUGGUAACAGGGAGGAAGGAGGGGAUGAUGUCAGGUCAGUAUUUCCCUUACGUCUGGGGCUACAAACACGCUACAAUGGCCGGUACAAAGGGCAGCCAAGUCGCGAGACGGAGCAAAUCCCAUCAAAGCCGGUCCCAGUUCGGAUUGCAGGCUGAAACUCGCCUGCAUGAAGUCGGAAUCGCUAGUAAUGGUAGGUCAGCACACUACCGUGAAUACGUUCCCGGGUCUUGUACACACCGCCCGUCAAACCAUGAAAGUCGCCAAUACCCGACGUCCGAGCUUUGCCUCGGCCUAAGGUAGGGGAGAUGAUUGGGGUUAAGUCGUAACAAGGUAACC
rnacentral:rRNA from 1 species